rnacentral:rRNA from 1 species
CCGAGUUUACAACUCCCAAACCCAAUGUGAACGUUACCAAACUGUUGCCUCGGCGGGAUCUCUGCCCCGGGUGCGUCGCAGCCCCGGACCAAGGCGCCCGCCGGAGGACCAACCAAAACUCUUAUUGUAUACCCCCUCGCGGGUUUUUUAAUAAUCUGAGCCUUCUCGGCGCCUCUCGUAGGCGUUUCGAAAAUGAAUCAAAACUUUCAACAACGGAUCUCUUGGUUCUGGCAUCGAUGAAGAACGCAGCGAAAUGCGAUAAGUAAUGUGAAUUGCAGAAUUCAGUGAAUCAUCGAAUCUUUGAACGCACAUUGCGCCCGCCAGUAUUCUGGCGGGCAUGCCUGUCCGAGCGUCAUUUCAACCCUCGAACCCCUCCGGGGGGUCGGCGUUGGGGAUCGGCCCUCCCUUAGCGGGUGGCCGUCUCCGAAAUACAGUGGCGGUCUCGCCGCAGCCUCUCCUGCGCAGUAGUUUGCACACUCGCAUCGGGAGCGCGGCGCGUCCACAGCCGUUAAACACCCAACUUCUGAAAUGUUGACCUCGGAUCAGGUAGGAAUACCCGCUGAACUUAAGCAUAUCAAU